UAGAGAGAAGGCUGUAGAAUCGCCAUUCUCAGCCAUUCACCAUUGUAUCAUCUCUCUCGCUCGGACCACCAAAUUACGCCUAAAAUCCAUCCCCUUUUAUGUUCUUUCACUCUAAUAGGCUUGAAACGGCAGAUUCUUGAGGUCGCAGAUAGAUCGAGCAAUCCCAGUUACUCCAUUUCUCCGAUUUCGAACACGAUCCUUAUAUGUUUUGUGUUGAGGUCACAUUUGUGCGAUUUUAGUAGAUUCACCCUAUCUUCGCAACAGUGUAUGUGCGAUUUUAGUAGAUUCACCCUAUCUUCGCGAUAUUGAUAUCUACAAACCCAGAUUCAACUAAGAACGACUACGGAGGGAAGGCUGGGAGAUCUACAACUAAGUGUGGUUUAGGGCUAUUUUAUUUGAGUGCUUAUUUACUGAUUUUCUCGUUUGAUUUCAAGCUGAAAUUCAUUUCUAUACUUUGACUAAUAUCUUGUGGUUAAUUUAUUUCUUCUAAAUUGUUUGUAUAGGGAAGACCGAAAUCAUGCAUGUCUUCUGAGUACAGAUCUGCUCUUUUGAACUGUUAUGGUCACCUAAAAACGCUUACGGAGUGAAGUCUGGGAGCUAAUUGAAAAGAUAAUAAUGGAUUAGGUCUUUUGGAUUUGGGCCAAGAAGACAUAGAAAGAGUCAACACUGAGCUGGAUUGAGCAGUUGACUGAAGAAGCUGAGCCAGGUAAACCAAAGCUUCAAAGAUGGCUAGAUAAUUUUGGGGUGCAAUAUGGCAAAUAAGGCCAAGAAGACAUAGAAAGAGUCAACACUGAGCUGGAUUGAGCAGUUGACUGAAGAAGCUGAGCCAGCUAAACCAAAGCUUCAAAGAUGGCUAGAUAAUUUUGGGGUGCAAUAUGGCAAAUAAGGUUGUGGUUUUUCUGUCCAUUUCAGUAAUUCAGUUGCUGUGAUUAGAACAUUUUGUUUUCAGGAGACCCUUCUUUAGUAACUUAGGUUAUUCAAAUGCUUUCCUGCUAGGAUUUUAAAAGAGUCGUUAUAAA